GAAGAUCGCUGUGGCAGCCUCCUCUUUACGCAGCCCUUACAGCACCCAGCAGGCUGCUGAAGAGCAUUGGAACGCUUCGAAACGUGGACCGUAGCCAGCGCGCACCGUCGCUUGGCUGACCCCUCUGUCGAGGGAGACGACACAGAACCCAGACGGAAAGGAAAAAAAAAGCAAGCCAAGGGAGUAGAGCAGCAGACGUGCGCUCGCCAUCAGCAUUGCCGCCAUCUCGAGCGAAUUGCCUCUCCACCAUUAUUCGCGGCUCUCCGCGUGCCCCCGGCUAGCAGCAGCAGCAGCAGCAGCAGCAGCAGCAGCAGUGUGUGUCUGCGUGCGUGCGUGCGUGUGUCUCUUUUCUUCCGCUGACGCACCUCAACAUGGAGGAGCGCUUCGAUUGGAUGACGUUCGGCGACGACGUCUCCGGCGCGCAAGCGGGCAGCGCUGCGCCGCCCUCCACCGGCGCCGACGAGGACGUGCCCAUCUUCCUGCGGGAGGAUGUUGGAAUGGUCCGGGCGGGCGCCUCGCAUGCAACGGCGGCGUCAGAAAGCACGGGUGUCGACUCAGAGAACGGAGCGCCGGCUUUUCUUGCUGUGUGCCCAGGGGCUGAUGUGGCGCCCCGCUUGAGUGGCGGCUGGUCAUCGGAGGGUUCGCCGGUGUGGGAUGGCUCUCUCCGGCAACAGCAAAAGCCGUCAUCGACUGCAGCGUUGGGCCACCCGGGGGGCGCUGGCGACGUGCAGGCAGCACCGUCGGCGGCGCUUUACGCUGACCAGCCCUCCGCUGCUGUCCUGCACUUCACAGGGGACAGCGGGCGCUCCUGGGGUGCGCUGCAUCGCGUUCGCAUCCUCGGCAAAGGCAGCUACGGCUGCGCCACCCUGUACUCCAUGAAGGACGCGGCCUCCGGCGGGGUCGAACCAACGCACGCGGUCGUGGUGAAGGAUAUCAACAUGCAGACCAUGCUGAACCCAGCCGAGGAGGUGCUGGCUGUGCAGAACGAGCUGAAGGUGCUUCGCACCGUGCUGGGGCACCCGAACCUGGUGCAGUACGUCGAUGCCCUAUUUGACACGCGACCGCCCACCUACCCGAUGUCGUUCAUCAUGAUGGAGUACUGCGCUGGUGGUGACCUUGCGGCGGUGAUGGACGGUCGCCGCUCAGACAGCGCCACCACGAACGGGGCGCCAUCCUCACCACCAUCCAUCCCCUUGGCCAUCACCACCGCAUCCACGGCGGCCGGGCCUGACAUACUUACCGAGCCGUGCGUUGCGUCACUCUUUAUUCAGGUCGCGGUGGCGCUGCAGUCGCUUCACACCGAGUAUGGCAUCUUGCACCGAGACGUGAAGCCGCACAAUAUCUUUUUACUGGAGGACGGCAUCACGGUCCGCCUCGGCGACUUUGGCAUCUCCACGCAGCUCGACCGCGUCGGCGAUACGGCGAAGGAGGCGUGCGGGUCGCCGUACUACAUGGCACCGGAGCUGUUCGAGGAGCGGGCCUACGGUGCGGCCGCCGAUGUUUGGUCCCUCGGCGUUGUUUUCUACCAACUCAUCGCGCGACAGCUGCCCUUCACGGCCGCCUCAGCGGCGGAGCUCCGUUCGCUUGUGUGCCGCGGCCGCUGCACACCCCUCCACGAUCUCCAAAACGAGGCUGCGUCACGCUACUCGCGACAGUUCAAGGAACUCGUGAGCUCGUUGCUGACGGUGGACGCGGCGGCGCGGCCGACGCUGCGUCGUGUGCUGCGUCACAAAUAUGUGCGAGAGUCUCUCAAGUAUGUCCCCGCGAGUGUGUUGACGGCGAAGAAGCCACUGCCGCCUGCACGGGUGCCCUCCGCAGGUGCAAUGCCCUCAUCGUCGUUGCAGAGGUUCAGCGCAGACGGGCUGUAUGCCGGCUUGUUUGGCAGUGAUGUGGUGGAGCAGGCGGUGUCGCAGGCCGUACACGCUGGUGUGUACCCCAUUGUGAGCCGUGUCCAUUCGGCAUAGCACAAGGGCGUGGAUGGAUGAGGAGGUGGCGUGCAGGGGGGCCGUGCAUUUUCGCGGCGGAAGACGAUCCAGGCGAUGCAUCGAAGGGUGGUGCGCCUGUGCGCAUGUAGACGUUCAGUACAGUUGCCGUGGGGACAGCGCGCCCCCCCUCCCUCUCCCUCUCUCCAUCUCUUCUCUGUGUGAGUUUG
rnacentral:misc_RNA from 1 species